CAAGUUAUAUCCUUAGAGGAGUUAUUAUUUACAUUAAUAAAUUAAAUCGUGCAAUUCGAUUUGACUUGA
rnacentral:tRNA from 1 species